CACCUUAAGUGAUCCUCCUGCCUCAGCCUCCCAAAGUGCUGGGAUUACAGAUUUGAGCCACUGUGCCCAGCCUAUAAUAUAGAAGAUUUUCAAAGAUUUUCCCAGAUUUCCUGAAAUUCUUAUGUCAGGCUCUUGGUAAAAGCCUACUAUUAGGCAGUCAAUCCUGAUCUGAUUUCUUCAAACCAAAGUGCUGACACCAGUUCCAAAGAGUAGUCUCAGAGCUGCUAGCAUAAUUACUUUAAUUGGAAGCUCUUUCUCUCCAGUUAUGCAAGGAGUGUUUAGCUUUUUAUAACUUAUCUCAAACCAAUUUUUGAGGUAAGUUUUGAGCAGGUCAACAUUAAGUCUUUAAAAAUUGUAAAACUACUCUCCCCCUACAUACUCACCACCAUCAGUUUAAAAAAACAAACACCCAGACUUCUGAAGACAAUCACAAAUGAAGAUAAAAAAUUGGUUUGAGACAAGUUAUAAAAAGCUAAACACAGAAGAUGAGUUUCAUAGUCCAGGGUGAGAUCACAUCAAUUGUAAGAAAA